GACGAACGCUGGCGGCGUGCCUAAUACAUGCAAGUAGAACGCUGAAGGAGGAGCUUGCUUCUCUGGAUGAGUUGCGAACGGGUGAGUAACGCGUAGGUAACCUGCCUGGUAGCGGGGGAUAACUAUUGGAAACGAUAGCUAAUACCGCAUAAGAGUAGAUGUUGCAUGACAUUUGCUUAAAAGGUGCAAUUGCAACACUACCAGAUGGACCUGCGUUGUAUUAGCUAGUUGGUGGGGUAACGGCUCACCAAGGCGACGAUACAUAGCCGACCUGAGAGGGUGAUCGGCCACACUGGGACUGAGACACGGCCCAGACUCCUACGGGAGGCAGCAGUAGGGAAUCUUCGGCAAUGGACGGAAGUCUGACCGAGCAACGCCGCGUGAGUGAAGAAGGUUUUCGGAUCGUAAAGCUCUGUUGUAAGAGAAGAACGAGUGUGAGAGUGGAAAGUUCACACUGUGACGGUAUCUUACCAGAAAGGGACGGCUAACUACGUG
rnacentral:rRNA from 1 species